GACGAACGCUGGCGGCGUGCUUAACACAUGCAAGUCGAACGGAAAGGCCCUGCUUGUGUGGGGUGCUCGAGUGGCGAACGGGUGAGUAACACGUGAGUAACCUGCCCUUGACUUUGGGAUAACUUCAGGAAACUGGGGCUAAUACCGUAUAGGAGCUCCUGCUGCAUGGUGGGGGUUGGAAAGUUUCGGCGGUUGGGGAUGGACUCGCGGCUUAUCAGCUUGUUGGUGGGGUAGUGGCUUACCAAGGCUUUGACGGGUAGCCGGCCUGAGAGGGUGACCGGCCACAUUGGGACUGAGAUACGGCCCAGACUCCUACGAGAGGCAGCAGUGGGGAAUAUUGCACAAUGGGCGGAAGCCUGAUGCAGCAACGCCGCGUGCGGGAUGACGGCCUUCGGGUUGUAAACCGCUUUCGCCUGUGACGAAGCGUGAGUGACGGUAAUGGGUAAAGAAGCACCGGCUAACUACGUG
rnacentral:rRNA from 1 species